AGAAAAGAACUUGUAUUUGGUGGGGCUGGAGGCGCAGAGCUCGGGUCUGUGUAUGCCGCGGGAGGGCUGGCGAGGCUGGCAACUGCCGCGGGCAGAAACCAGGCAGCGGCUUGUCCCCCCCUGGGACUGGCAAGGGCGCCCUUGGCACCUCCGGCUCGGGCUCGGCCACCGAUAGAGACUGCCACACAGGCUUUCGGGCUCCACCGGCUGCCGCUCCGUGUUUUCCCCCAUCCCGGUUUCACGUUCAAGGUUUAGCUGCGAGGUCACGUCCAUUGACGUCAGCUCCCUGUCUCCCUCUACGUCCGGCUACAUUUACAUACAUCAAGGAAAUUAGGGCAUUAAAAAAAUAUGCAAAUCCUGCGCGAAGAGGAGAGGGUGCAUUCCUGGAGCGACCGCCUUUUAUUGAAGCUUUUAAUUAAAGGGGCCAGUUGGCUAGCCCCUGAAACAACCGCCAAAAUCCCCCAAAAGAGAAAAAUAAACGCUGUAGCCUUCGGGAACGGUUGUUUCGGCUCCUGUUCUGUGGGCGGCUGAGGACGGCCGGCUGCCCUGCUCCGAGAACAGAAUGAAGGUUUCUUCAUAUCUUCUGGCCGGCACCACACAGUACUUGCUUGCUUGGGUGUACAGAGCCAUGAGGUGAUGAUGGACCAUGGAGGAGCAAAAUUCAAGGCAAAAGACAAGCAUUCCGACUCUCUUAUUCUCUGUUUUGAAGUUUAACAUCAUGUUGCAUGGAACUGAUAAGAAUGUGGUUUAAGAACUUCAACUGCACAGUAUUCAAAACUCAUUCAUUGCCCUGGAGUAAUAAUAACAUCACCGUUGAAGUAGCUGAUUUAUUUGAUGUUCCUGCGGAGUGGGGCAAGAAGAGGACAUUGGAUUUUCUGGAGCUAGCCUUACAGUGAGAUGCCGGUCUCGAAUGGGAAGGCAGUCUGUCUGGGUUUCAGCACAGUUUUCUUCAGUGAGAAUGCAAAGACUUCCUGGCUGGCCUUGCUUCCCCUCGGUGCUAUGUGAUUCUCUGACAUCAGUGCAGAUAUAUUCAGCCUUGACAUGCGAUCCUGGCUGGCAUGAAAACGAAGGCGAAGAUGAGUGAGCUCACAAGCGGGCCAUGGCUGUGCUGAAGACUAAAUGGUGUCUGCAACAGGUGCUCCUCGGAACCAGGGUCAGAAAGGACUGCUUCCUCUGUUUAAAAAAAUGGCUAAGUAACUUUUACACGUAGAAACUACGAAAUUGAUGCAUGUGUGACUAGGAAAUUAUAGGAAAUUAUAUUCAAUAAUAAGGUGCAGUCACAGUUUUCCCUCGGUUCCUUCUAUUUCUAUCUCUGUGUAUGCACAUUUUGGUGUAGGCUUGGGCAUGAGGUCAGUGCCACCAUCAAUGUGGGGGGAGCAGCCUCGAGAACUGGUCCUUGCUUCCCACAUGUUUGACAGAGGCUUUCCUGUUGUUCUCUGCUGUACAUGUUGGACAAGCUGGUCCAGGAGCCUUAGGAUACUGUCCUGUGUCUGCCUCCCAUCCUCCACAGGAACACGGCAUGAUUACAGACGCUUUGAUGCUCAGACUGUCGGGCACGAAUGGCAAACAUUUACCCUCUGAGCUGGAUCCCCAGCCUGGCAAACACUUGCCCACUGAGCCAUAUCGACAGCCUGAUUCCUUCUAUUUCCAGAUAUAAGGUGUCACGUGCCUAAGGCAUAUGUUCAGAGGUGGUGGGAUGAGUUGGUUUAACUCCUGAGAUUUUUUUCUAAUGGUUUUACACUCUGUAUAUUGCAAACUUUUAUAUUUUAAAGACAGAAUAUCUUCUUUAUUCUUGGAGAAUGAUUAAAUUUAACAGGCUGUCAGGCAAUUAACAAUAACAGCAGAAGUGAACAAUCAAACACUUCUUAUUUUUAACAUCAGAUUAUAAAGCAUCAUUGCUAUUAAAUAGUAACAAGAGACCAUUUGCAUCAAAGUUUAGUAACCCAAAGUUUUGUUUGUCCCACAUUUACAAAACAAAAACAAAAAAGCAUUUUUCUUAAUGUUUACUUCCAAUACUGGCUGUUCCUUUAAUAGUAACCAAGCUGGCUUAGUGAAAUAGUAGACAAAGUCAUGACAUCUAGACUACUUUUCUUGGUCCCUGUGACUCCCCUGCCGGCCCACCACUGACUCUAACCAGUGUGUGGCUGGGACUUCUACCUAGGAAACACUUGUCUGGGCCUUUUCUGGUUCUUGAAUUUUGAUAUUACUCAUUGCAAAGUAUUUUCUGCAGAGAAAGAAAUCAAAUAUGACAAAUUCAUUGUGUGGGAAAGUACUGUUGAAUUUACUUACUAGUUUGGCUCUAUCUAAUCUUUAAAAAUUUCUAUGAUAGGGAACUACGGUUAUUCCUCCUUCCUAUCUACUCUCUGGAAGUUCUGAUAUUUCUGCAUCACUCAUUGAAGUAAUAAAAAACCAAAACCCAGAAGAAACACCACCUCCAAUAGGUCAUGUUCCAGCUGUAGAAAUUACCAUGGUUACUUCUUACGCUGAUAGUAAACGAGAGUUGGCACUUAAAAGUACUGUGCUAUAUUACGUAUCUGCAUUGACAUGGACAUCAACAUCUCAAUAAUUCCAACAUUAUAAAUUAAUAUGGGAACCUGAAGAAAUGUGACUAUGAGACAAUUAGUCACUGUUGAAGAUAUUCUAAAGAGAUGAAAUGUAUGUAAAGGUUUUUGCGGCAGCAUGGUCUACUGAUGUUAAUGCCGAAUAUGGUUUUACUACAAAUACUGUUGAAUGGUUGCAGUCUUACUCCUGCUGUCCUCUUUAGGAAUGGACAGGAUAUCAGUACUUUGAGUGAACAUGAUUGAUUCAAUUAGGAACUGAUGAACAGAGAACAUGAGAAGUAUGGCUUCCCUAAAACACUCUUGUCUAAGAGUGGUAUCAGGGACUGAGGUGAUCUGAUCAGAAUCUACAGUUCUCUGCAGACCAGCUAUGUUAUUUUGUUCUUAGACUUCUCUUACUGCAGAAGAGACACAAGGACACUGUCUUCAUUAACACACUGGACAUGACAGGUGAGGUUUGUGACCGGUUCGCCUUGGCUAAAGCUGUCCCAAGCAAGACUCCAUCUAACACACAGUUCCUUUGUCAGUCACUGUUCAACCACCCCUCCUUCAGAAGGAGCUUUCGAGUUUCUUGGAAAUCACCCACAGACUGAGGCCAGUGCCACAUGCUGCGGCGCCGCUGAGAUCUGU